UAAUAAGGCAAGUACCAAAAAAAAAAGAGUGUAUGAAGCCUGUAGGGCAUGAAUGAAUGAUAGACUUGGUUUUAUGACUUCCUUCAAUAGGGAAAGAGAAACGACUUGACUUUUCUGAGAGCAGGAAUUUACAGAGAAGUUUGGUCAAACAUGUAUUGUGAAAUUUGCUUGCAACAAGCUGAGAAGAAUUUUCAGCAAGUGUGGAGGCCUGGCUGGAUGAAAGGAAUUGGGAGCCAAAGUGUCUUUAUAAAUCAGCUACUCAUUUGGACACCCAUGCUCUGGAUCAUGCGGAAGAGUCACAAGGUGUCCUUUGGGUCCCAUUUCUAUCCCCCACUGUCCCCUAGCCUCCAUCAGUGAUGUCCUGGGGCCAGUACUUCUCACUCCAGCACAAGUAAGUGAAUUGUUUUUCUCUGUUUUUUAGGGCCAAUUGGCAGAGGAGAACAGUGUCAUCUAGCAGAAGUCUUUCUGUGCCCCUCUGGAACUGCAGUUAUGCUCCCAAGAAGUGCCAGUAGGCCUCGCCGGUCAAAACAUGAUGGAUUUGGAAAAGUCUGCCAACGUCACCUUUGAACCAAAAGUGUUUGAAGUGCCUCCGGAGCCAAGCCUAAGAUAUUCUGAAUAUAGAGUAUUCUACGAUGCGUACAGCAUUUGCUUGAGGAUUAUCUGCUAAAGAACCAAGCACAGAACAGCAUGAACCACAGGGGAUUGUUGCCAUCAGGCCAGCUGUGAGGGUUCAAGAAAUUACCCUCCACCUCAUUUAAGGUCAGGGCCAACCUGCUGCCCUCAGGACGUACAUAUCUUGUGGAG